UUGCUUUGGCAGCACAUUUACUAAAAUUGGAACUAUACAGAGAAGAUGAGCAUGGCUCUUGCACAAGGAUAACUCGCAAAUUUGUGAAACAUUCCAUAUGUUU